UACAGAGGGGGCAAGCGUUGUUCGGAAUUACUGGGCGUAAAGCGCGUGUAGGCGGCUCUGUAAGUCGGGUGUGAAAUCCCACGGCUCAACCGUGGAAGUGCACUCGAAACUACAGGGCUAGAGUCCUGGAGAGGAAGGUGGAAUGCUUGGUGUAGAGGUGAAAUUCGUAGAUAUCAAGCGGAACACCGGUGGCGAAGGCGGCCUUCUGGACAGUGACUGACGCUGAGACGCGAAAGCGUGGGGAGCAAACAGG
rnacentral:rRNA from 1 species